GAGAUUCCCCUAGUAGCGGCGAGCGAACGGGGAGCAGCCCUUAAGCUGUUUAGAAUUUAGUGGAAUCCUUUGGGAAGAGGAGCGAUACAAGGUGAUAGCCCUGUACACGACGGAUUCUUUACAGUGAAAUCGAGUAGGUCGGGACACGUGUUAUCUUGACUGAAUAUGGGGGGACCAUCCUCCAAGGCUAAAUACUCCUAACUGACCGAUAGUGAACCAGUACCGUGAGGGAAAGGCGAAAAGAACCCCUGUGAGGGGAGUGAAAUAGAACCUGAAACCGUAUACGUACAA
rnacentral:rRNA from 13 species